GAUGAACGCUGGCGGCGUGCCUAAUACAUGCAAGUCGAGCGAACAGAUGAGGAGCUUGCUCCUCUGACGUUAGCGGCGGACGGGUGAGUAACACGUGGAUAACCUACCUAUAAGACUGGGAUAACUACGGGAAACCGGAGCUAAUACCGGAUAAUAUAUUGAACCGCAUGGUUCAAUAGUGAAAGACGGUUUUGCUGUCACUUAUAGAUGGAUCCGCGCUGCAUUAGCUAGUUGGUAAGGUAACGGCUUACCAAGGCAACGAUGCGUAGCCGACCUGAGAGGGUGAUCGGCCACACUGGAACUGAGACACGGUCCAGACUCCUACGGGAGGCAGCAGUAGGGAAUCUUCCGCAAUGGGCGAAAGCCUGACGGAGCAACGCCGCGUGAGUGAUGAAGGUCUUCGGAUCGUAAAACUCUGUUAUUAGGGAAGAACAAAUGUGUAAGUAACUAUGCACGUCUUGACGGUACCUAAUCAGAAAGCCACGGCUAACUACGUG
rnacentral:rRNA from 1 species